AGGGCCAGAAGAGCCUCUGGGACAGUUACAGGCACAGCUCUGUGUCCUUCUGCCUUGUUCUAAUGCAUAUCAGUGGGUCAGACCCAAUGUGCUGUGCAGAAAUGAGCUCAGCAUUGGUGCACUGGCAGCGUGGAACAGCCUUCCCAGCACUUCUGUGAGCUACACCCUCAUCGUCCUGAAAUUCUCCACAUUCAUCAUUCCUCCCCUGAAAAGUGCUAAAUGCUGUGCAGUGAGGAACUGUGGCUUUAUUUCACCUCCAGAAAAAUCUCCUGCUUCCAACUUUACAAGGAAGUGAGCAAACCGAGGGGAUCCUCAUUCACCUCACAGCAAAGAGGCAGCAGCAAAGCAGAAAUCUGUCUUGAGGGCUCGAGCAGCCCAAUUUGAGCAGCUCACGCUCACGCCUUUCCCCAUAUAAUUUCUCUCUUUUUGUCACGCUCUCUGAUUGCUAAAAAAUUAUCCGCCCAGGACACGUUUUUAUUCAUUCAUUCUCAAAGACGCGAUACGGAUAAGGUUGCAGUGAAAAGCCGGAAAAUAAAAUCACUGUCAAAGCCAACCCCAGCACCUUCGCAGGCAGACGGAGGGAUAACCUGUUGUGGGCACGUUUCGGCGGCAGGCAGAGCCAAGCGCCGGGCUGCCGGGGGGCGGCGGCGCGGGGCUCUGCGCGCGAGUCCUUCCCAGCAGCUGCUGCCGCUCCUCUCUUUUGGGGCGACGGCGGAGCGCCCCAAGGGGCCGUGCCCGGGGCGGGCGGUGCUGCACCCCCGUCGCCUCCUCCCCCCUCCCCCCUUCCCGUCCCCACGGGCAGAGGGCAAAGUUAUCUCCCCCAGCGUACGGCGGGAGCCCCUGCGGAACAGCUCUCAGCUUCCACAUGCAACUCUCAAGAAGUUUCUGCAGGCGAACAAGACCACCGCUGAGGCAUCGCCCGCGCCCUCUUAUGAUAUUUUUAAUUUCUGUGUUUCUUUUUCUUUCUCGCUCCAUUCCCUUAGUUCUGUUUUUUUUUUUUUUUUUUUUUUUUUUUUUGGGUUUUAUUUUUUUUUUUUUUUUUUUUUUUUUUUUUUUUUUUUUUUUUUUUUUUUUUUUUCAGCCUUUAUGUAUUCCUUUAGCACCACAUAUACCGCCGACCACCGGGUAUUGCCAGCCGGCCGACAGAGCCGCUC
rnacentral:lncRNA from 1 species